CUGCGUUACGUCACUUCCUCCCGGCGCCCCGCCCCUGAAGGUCAGCGGCGUCGCUCCGCCCAUCUCCUUCCGGAUGGUGUCAGCGGGAGGGAAGCCAAGGUUUCGGUCUCAAGUUAGCAUCUCGGUCUCUUCGCUGUGGCGUGCUGCGCGCCUGGAGGGACUCGGCGUGCUGUGGUCCAGAGGGUGAGAAGGCGAGUGAGGGCGGCCCUACGCGUUGCUAAGUGAGGCUGGGACGUGGCUGGGCGAAGCCGCGCGCUUCCUCGGGGACUGGGAGGCCGCGCGGAGGGAGAAAUCAUAUCCACGGGUGAGGAUUAAAAAACAUGUUUGGGCAAGACUCUGAGCAGAAGAUGCAGCUAAGCUGUACCCAGAUUUUGGACACUGUGAGACUAAAACCACCAAGUGGAGCAGAGACAGCCCAGCUGUGAGUGAAAGGCCCAGCCA